rnacentral:lncRNA from 1 species
GUGGUUCCAGUUAGUCGAGCAUGUGGUUCCGGCAUGCUCAACACUUGGUUCAGGCAGGACCGGCAGGUGGUUCUGGUCUGUCCGGGAGGUGGUUCCGGCGUGUCCGGCACGUGCUUCCGGCACAUCUGAGAGCUGGUACCGGCAUGUGCGGCAGGUGAUUCCGGAGUGUCAGCCAGGUGGUUCUGGCGUACCCCGCAGCUGAUUUUGGCGUGUCCGGCAGGUGUUUCUGGCGAGUCGAGCAGGUGGCUCCGGCAUGCUCGGCAGGUGCUUCCGGCAUCUCCGCCACGUGGUUCUGCUGUGUCUGAGAGCUGGUUCCGGCAUGUCCGGCAGAUGAUUCCGGAGUGUCCGCCAAGUGGUUCUGGCAUACCCGGCAGGAGAUUUUGGCAUGUCAGGUAGGUGGUUCCGGCGAGUCGAGGAGGUGGUUCUGGCACUUCUGAGAAGUGGCUCUGGCAUUCCCCGCAGGUGAUUCCGCAGUGCCCACCAAGUGGUUCUAGCGUAGCCGGCAGGUGAUUUUGGCUUGUCCAGCAGGUGGUUCCGGCGGGUCUGGCAGGUGGUUCCGGUCUGUCCGGGAGGUGCUUCUGGCGUGUCCAACACAUGGUUCCGGCACGUCUGAGAUGCGGUUCUAUCGUGCCCGGCAGAUAAUUCCAGAGAGUCCACCAAGUGGUUUUGGCAUAGCUGGCAGGUGAUUUUGGCGUGUCCAGCAGGUGGUUCUGGGGAGUGGAUCAGGUGGUUCCGGCAUACUUGGCAGGUGGUUCCGGCGUGUCUGGCACAUGGUUCUGGCACGUCUGAGAGGUGGUUCCGGCAUGCCCGGCAGGUCAUCCCGGAGAGUCCUCCAAGUGGUUCUGGCGUAGCCCGCAGGUGAUUUUGGCGUGUCCGGCAGGUGGUUCUGUCGUGCUCGGCAGGUGGUUCAGGUGUUGCCGGCAGGUGGUUCCAGUCUGUCCAGGACGUGUUUCCAUCUUGUCCGGCACGUGGUUCUGGUACGUCUGAGAGGUGGUUCCUGCAUGCCCGGCAGGUGAUUCUGGACUGUCCGCCAGGUGGUUCUGGCAUAGCCAGCAGUUGAUAUUGGCCUGUCCGGCAGGUGGGUCCUGCGUGUCGAGAAGGUGGUUCCUGCAUGCUCGGCAAGUGAUUCCGGCGUGUCCGGCAGGUGCUUCUGGUCUGUCCGGGAGCUGGUUCCGGCAUGGCCGGCACGUGGUUCUGGCACGUCUGUGAGGUGCUUCGGGCAUGCCCGGCAGGUGAUUCCUCGGUGUCCGCCAAGUGGUUCUGGCAUCACCGGCAGGUUAUUUUGGUGUGUCCGGCAGGUCUUUCCUGCUUUUUGGGCUCGUGGCUCUGGCUUGUAAGACAGAUGCUUGUCGCAUUUCUGGCCCCCGUUCUUUCAUACUCCUCAGCUGGUUUCAGUGAUUCUGGCACCUAUUUGUGUCAUAUGCAACAGGUGUUUACAAUGUGUCUGGCAUGUCAUUGUGCUAUGUUUGGAAUCUGGUUCCGUCAUGUCAUAGUGUGGGGCUGGCAUGUUGAAGAGAUGGCUCUGCAGUGUCAGAAUCGCUGUUCCACUGUGUCUGGCAGGUGGUUACAGGUGGUUCUGGCAUGCAACGUGGGUGCUUCUGGUAUGCCUGUUGGGUCAUACUGUCAUGAAUGUGUGGCCCUUUGAGAGUGUGCAGAGGGUGUUUUUAGCAUGUCUCCCGGGGUUUUCAGGCACAUAAGGGGCAUGAUUCCUUUUUAUACGUCAG